GCUGAUAUGGCGCAGGUGGGAGAGCGCUGCCUUGGUAGUGGUGAGGCGCCCAGUUCGACUCUGGGUAUCAGCA
rnacentral:tRNA from 1 species